rnacentral:sRNA from 1 species
UUACUUGAAAAUAAAGAAUAUUCAUCAAG